ACCUGAUGAUGUGGGAAUUUACGGAGCAAGUCCUUAAGGCACUCCCCGGUCUCAAAGAAAAGUUCCUCAUCCAUUUGUGCAAAACUUGUGAUUGCCCUUCGCAGCU